rnacentral:rRNA from 1 species
GCUAGUUGGUGAGGUAAUGGCUCACCAAGGCGACGAUCAGUAGCCGGCCUGAGAGGGUGAACGGCCACACUGGAACUGAGACACGGUCCAGACUCCUACGGGAGGCAGCAGUGGGGAAUAUUGCACAAUGGGCGAAAGCCUGAUGCAGCGACGCCGCGUGAGUGAAGAAGGUCUUCGGAUCGUAAAACUCUGUCCUUGGUGAAGAAAAAAAUGACGGUAGCCAAGGAGGAAGCCCCGGCUAACUACGUGCCAGCAGCCGCGGUAAUACGUAGGGGGCGAGCGUUGUCCGGAUUUACUGGGCGUAAAGGGUGAGUAGGCGGUUGUAUAUGUCAGAUGUAAAAGGCUAUGGCUUAACUAUAGUAAGCAUUUGAAACUGUACAACUUGAGUGCAGGAGAGGUAAGUGGAAUUCCUAGUGUAGCGGUGAAAUGCGUAGAUAUUAGGAGGAACACCAGUGGCGAAGGCGACUUACUGGACUGUAACUGACGCUGAGUCACGAAAGCGUGGGUAGCAAACAGGAUUAGAUACCCUGGUAGUCCACGCUGUAAACGAUGAGUGCUAGGUGUUGGGUAGCGAUAUUCAGUGCCGAAGUUAACACAAUA